AUGUUUAUCUCUUGCGCGCUCCUCUUCUUCCUCCCUGGCGCUCGGUCGCUUCUCUCUGGUCUCCACGCGCACCGCGUCCAGCUCCCUCCUCCAGCUGUGUCUGCUGCUCGCCCCAGCCUGGAGCUUCGCUCGGCUUCCAACUCCGGCGCCCGGCCGAGCUCCCUGAUUCUUCUGUACAACUUCGAUGGUGGUACAAUUUGUUCAGUGGUUAUUUUGAAAGAAUGGCUUGGCAUCCAUCGCGUCGCUGCUGCUGAAAUAUCUAAAGGUCUCCCAAUUUUUGGCAUUGGUGUUGGGCAUAGCACAUAUGACAAAGCUUCGGUAAUUACUCUGAUGCUUGCUAUUUGUUUGGUAGGCUAUAGCUACAGCCAAAAUCAUAAAAGUGCCUGGUUUGAAGCUAUCAGCACUAAGCCAAAUAAAGGAUUCCGGCUCUCAUCAAGUGACUCCCCCUCAUGUUGACUUUGCGGAUGUCUCAAUUCUAGUGGUGGAGCUACGAACAACAAUCCGAUGUCCUGAUCGAGAGCGAUGGAGUUAAUGUUUGAACUUGUGUGUUUGAACUUGUGAACUAAAAAUGUGAACUAUGGAUGUGAACUUAACUUGUGUGUUUGAACUUGUGAACUAAAAAUGUGAACUAUGGAUGUGAACUUGUGUGAAUUUGUGAACUUAUGUAUUUGGACU
rnacentral:lncRNA from 1 species